rnacentral:rRNA from 1 species
CCCUUAGAUGUUCUUGGCCGCACGCGCGCUACACUGUUCGACGCAGCGAGUCUUAACCUUGACCGAAAGGUUUGGGUAAUCUUCAGCAAAGUCGAACGUGAUGGGGAUCGAUCAUUGCAAUUAUUGAUCGUGAACGAGGAAUUCCUAGUAAGUGCAAGUCAUCAGCUUGCGCUGAUUACGUCCCUGCCCUUUGUACACACCGCCCGUCGCUACUACCGAUUGAAUGGUUUAGUGAGAUCUCUGGAUUGACGCUGGCUAGGGGGCGACCCUUGGCCAGACUGUUGAGAAACUGCUCAAACUUGAUCAUUUAGAGGAAGUAAAAGUCGUAACA